UACGUAGGGAGCAAGCGUUGUCCGGAAUCAUUGGGCGUAAAGCGCGUGUAGGCGGCCCGGAAAGUCUGGUGUGAAAUCUUAAGGCUCAACCUUAAGCUGUCACUGGAUACUGUCGGGCUUGAGUCCGGAAGAGGAGUGUGGAAUUCCUGGUGUAGCGGUGGAAUGCGCAGAUAUCAGGAGGAACACCUAUGGCGAAGGCAGCACUCUGGUACGUGACUGACGCUGAGACGCGAAAGCGUGGGGAGCAAACAGG
rnacentral:rRNA from 1 species